rnacentral:ncRNA from 1 species
GACGCUUGCCCAGUGCCGGAAGGUCAAGGAAGUUGGUGACCUGAUGAUAGGGGAGCCGACGACGAAGCCCCGGUGAACGGCGACCGUAACUAUAACGGUCCUAAGGUAGCGAAAUUCCUUGUCGGGUAAGUUUAUUGUGUAUUAACGUUG